rnacentral:rRNA from 1 species
UACGUAGGGUGCAAGCGUUAAUCGGAAUUACUGGGCGUAAAGCGUGCGCAGGCGGUUUUGUAAGUCUGAUGUGAAAUCCCCGGGCUCAACCUGGGAAUUGCAUUGGAGACUGCAAGGCUAGAAUCUGGCAGAGGGGGGUAGAAUUCCACGUGUAGAAGUGAAAUGCGUAGAGAUGUGGAGGAACACCGAUGGCGAAGGCAGCCCCCUGGGUCAAGAUUGACGCUCAUGCACGAAAGCGUGGGAGCAAACAGG